rnacentral:rRNA from 1 species
UACGAAGGGGGCGAGCGUUGUUCGGAUUUACUGGGCGUAAAGGGCGCGCAGGCGGCGGACCAAGUCAGGCGUGAAAGCCCCGGGCUUAACCUGGGAGGUGCGUCUGGGACUGGACUGCUAGAGUUCGGGAGAGGAGAGUGGAAUUCCCAGUGUAGAGGUGAAAUUCGUAGAUAUUGGGAAGAACACCGGUGGCGAAGGCGGCUCUCUGGACCGAGACUGACGCUGAGGCGCGAAAGCGUGGGGAGCAAACGGG